GCCGCAGUGAAGCCUGAGCUCGAGUAGGGCCCAAGCAAGCCAGGAAGGAGGAGGCAGCCGCCAGAGUGUUCUCUGCAGCAGAAGACCCCUUGCUGCCCUGCUCAACCCAGACCAGCAUUUGCCAGAUUAUUGGGACUUCUGCUGAAGACUAUUUCGAAACUGACUUUUACCUAGGAAGUCUGUCUAGUUUCUUAUUCAGGACAAUUACUUCUCACCUAUGAGGACUUACUUCAAUCAAAUUGGCACUACAAGCAUUACAUCCGCUUCAAGCAGUUUGUUUUUAAGCCAAGCAGAGGCCCAUUCUGUCACAUCCGUCCCCCACCCCAAUAACCCUGUUUCAGUGGGGAAAGUGUUCUGCUGCUGGACCAAAGUGUUUGCAAAGAGUUUUAAGAAGAUCAAGUAAUUAUUUACCUUUUGCCCUCCUAACUGUGCUUUGCUGAGUGCUGUACUGUAGACCACAGGAGGACAAUGCGUAGGCAGAUCUCAAUUAAUCUGCAUGUCUGCAAACCCUCCCACCUUCCAAGGGGGUGGAGGUGGAAUUUGCAUCCCAAUGUGGGUGUUCACUGGUCAUUGAAAGACAUUUGCCUGGUCAUUUCAGACUGGUCAAGCCAGUUAUCACUUGCUUUGCUCCUACUUCUAGUAUACUACUUCUAACCAAAGAAUCCUAGAGUGAAAGGGUGUGACUCCUUAAAAACUAGCUUGCUGAGUCAGCACAGGUCUGACUGGGUUGUUCAGUUGACUGAUGAACUUGAACAUAUGCGUUUGCUGAUGCUAAUGGGCUGUUUGCUUGCAAUAGAAAGUCAGCUCCUGAAGCAAAAAAACAAAAACUAAAAACCCAAAGCAAUCAUUGGCUGAUGUAUUUUGGUUUCGGCAAUGUAUGUUAAAAAUACAAAAUACCUGAACAAAUGUAUUUUAGAUACAAAAUACUGUUUUGAAAAGUAUUUUAGAUACACAAUACAAAAGUAUUGAAAA